rnacentral:rRNA from 1 species
UACGUAGGGUGCAAGCGUUAAUCGGAAUUACUGGGCGUAAAGCGUGCGCAGGCGGUUAUGCAAGACAGAUGUGAAAUCCCCGGGCUUAACCUGGGAACCGCAUUUGUGACUGCAUAGCUGGAGUACGGCAGAGGGGGAUGGAAUUCCGCGUGUAGCAGUGAAAUGCGUAGAUAUCAAGAGGAACACCAGUGGCGAAGGCGAGUCCCUGGACAACACCUGACACUGAGGCACGAAAGCGUGGGGAGCAAACAGG